rnacentral:rRNA from 1 species
CCUACGGGUGGCUGCAGUAAGGAAUAUUGGUCAAUGGAGGAAACUCUGAACCAGCCAUCCCGCGUGAAGGAUGAAGGGGCUCUGCCUUGUAAACUUCUUUUGUCUGGGGCGAAAAAGCUCGAUUUAUCGAGAACUGUCGGUACCAGAAGAAUAAGCACCGGCUAACUCCGUGCCAGCAGCCGCGGUAAUACGGCGGGUGCAGGCGUUACUCGGAUUCACUGGUGUGAAGGGGGGCGUAGAAGUCAGAGUAGAAAGGCUGUGGCUUAACCAUGGAAUUGCCAUUGAUACUGCAGAGCUUGAAUGAGGUUGAGGUUGGCGGAAUGUGACAUGUAGCGGUGAAAUGCUUAGAUAUGUCAUGGAACACCGAUUGCGAAGGCAGCUGACUGGACCUAUAUUGACGCUGAGGCACGAAAGCGUGGGGAGCGAACAGGAUUAGAUACCCGGGUAGUC